rnacentral:lncRNA from 1 species
GUUUGGGUUGGGUCUGGAGGCAAGUUCACGUGACGAUUGCAGCCAUGUGUGCUUGCAGACCCUCAAGCCACCCUGGCACCACAGGAAGACAAGGAGGCUGGGAUGCCCAGGGACCUGCGGGACAGGAGGAAUGUCAGUGAGUCCCUGGAGGGCUCUUUGGAUGAAAAGUAUUUGAUGUUUACCACUUACCAGGACUUAUUUGCAUCCCCCAAGCCCCCCAAUAGUGC